rnacentral:rRNA from 1 species
GGUUAAGUGACUAAGCGUACACGGUGGAUGCCUUGGCAGUCAGAGGCGAUGAAAGACGUAGUAACUUGCGAUAAGCCCAGAUUAGGUAGUAACAACCAUUUGAGUCUGGGAUUUCUGAAUGGGGAAACCCACGUGCAUAAGCACGUAUCCUUACCUGAAUACAUAGGGUAAGGAGGCGAACCGGGGGAACUGAAACAUCUAAGUACCCCGAGGAAAAGAAAUCAACCGAGAUUCCGAAAGUAGCGGCGAGCGAAAUUGGACUAGCCCUUAAGCUUUACACGCGUUAGACGAACGGUCUGGAAAGUCCGACGAUACAGGGUGAUAGUCCCGUAGUUGACGACGUGUGUUCAGUGAAAUCGAGUAGGGCGGGACACGUGAUAUCCUGUCUGAAUAUGGGGGGACCAUCCUCCAAGGCUAAAUACUACUGACUGACCGAUAGUGAACCAGUACCGUGAGGGAAAGGCGAAAAGAACCCCUGUGAGGGGAGUGAAAUAGAACCUGAAACCGUGUACGUACAAGCAGUAGGAGCAGGCUUUGUCCUGUGACUGCGUACCUUUUGUAUAAUGGGUCAGCGACUUAUAUUCAGUGGCAAGGUUAACCAUCUAGGGGAGCCGUAGGGAAACCGAGUCUUAACUGGGCGUUCAGUCUCUGGAUAUAGACCCGAAACCAGGUGAUCUAGCCAUGGGCAGGUUGAAGGUUGAGUAACAUCAACUGGAGGACCGAACCGACUAAUGUUGAAAAAUUAGCGGAUGACUUGUGGCUAGGGGUGAAAGGCCAAUCAAACCUGGAGAUAGCUGGUUCUCCCCGAAAGCUAUUUAGGUAGCGCCUCGGACGAAUACUACUGGGGGUAGAGCACUGUUAAGGCUAGGGGGUCAUCCCGACUUACCAACCCUUUGCAAACUCCGAAUACCAGUAAGUACUAUCCGGGAGACACACGGCGGGUGCUAACGUCCGUCGUGGAGAGGGAAACAACCCAGACCGCCAGCUAAGGUCCCAAAUUACUACUAAGUGGGAAACGAUGUGGGAAGGCUCAGACAGCCAGGAUGUUGGCUUAGAAGCAGCCAUCAUUUAAAGAAAGCGUAAUAGCUCACUGGUCGAGUCGGCCUGCGCGGAAGAUGUAACGGGGCUAAGUAGUAAACCGAAGCUGCGGCAAUGUGCUUUUGCACAUUGGGUAGGGGAGCGUUCUGUAAGCGGUUGAAGGUGUGUGGUAACGCAUGCUGGACGUAUCAGAAGUGCGAAUGCUGACAUGAGUAACGAUAAAGGGGGUGAAAAACCUCCUCGCCGGAAGACCAAGGGUUCCUGUCCAACGUUAAUCGGGCAGGGUAAGUCGACCCCUAAGGCGAGGCCGAAAGGCGUAGUCGAUGGGAAACGGGUUAAUAUUCCCGUACUUCUUACAAUUGCGAUGGGGGGACGGAGAAGGCUAGGUGGGCCUGGCGACGGUUGUCCAGGUUCAAGUGCGUAGGCUUAAGAGUUAGGUAAAUCCGGCUCUUUUUAAGGCUGAGACACGACGUCGAGCAUCUACGGAUGUGAAGUCAUUGAUGCCAUGCUUCCAGGAAAAGCCUCUAAGCUUCAGAUUGUAAGGAAUCGUACCCCAAACCGACACAGGUGGUCGGGUAGAGAAUACCAAGGCGCUUGAGAGAACUCGGGUGAAGGAACUAGGCAAAAUGGUACCGUAACUUCGGGAGAAGGUACGCUCUCGACGGUGAAGUCCCUCGCGGAUGGAGCUAUUGAGAGUCGCAGAUACCAGGUGGCUGCAACUGUUUAUUAAAAACACAGCACUGUGCAAAAUCGUAAGAUGACGUAUACGGUGUGACGCCUGCCCGGUGCCGGAAGGUUAAUUGAUGGGGUUAGACUUCGGUCGAAGCUCUUGAUCGAAGCCCCGGUAAACGGCGGCCGUAACUAUAACGGUCCUAAGGUAGCGAAAUUCCUUGUCGGGUAAGUUCCGACCUGCACGAAUGGCGUAAUGAUGGCCACGCUGUCUCCACCCGAGACUCAGUGAAAUUGAAAUCGCUGUGAAGAUGCAGUGUACCCGCGGCUAGACGGAAAGACCCCGUGAACCUUUACUACAGCUUGGCACUGAACAUUGACCCUACAUGUGUAGGAUAGGUGGGAGGCUUUGAAGCACGUACGCCAGUAUGUGUGGAGCCGUCCUUGAAAUACCACCCUUGUAGUGUUGAUGUUCUAACGUCGACCCCUUAUCGGGGUUGCGGACAGUGCCUGGUGGGUAGUUUGACUGGGGCGGUCUCCUCCCAAAGAGUAACGGAGGAGCACGAAGGUGGGCUAAUCACGGUUGGACAUCGUGAGGUUAGUGCAAUGGCAUAAGCCCGCUUGACUGCGAGAAUGACAAUUCGAGCAGGUGCGAAAGCAGGUCAUAGUGAUCCGGUGGUUCUGAAUGGAAGGGCCAUCGCUCAACGGAUAAAAGGUACUCCGGGGAUAACAGGCUGAUACCGCCCAAGAGUUCAUAUCGACGGCGGUGUUUGGCACCUCGAUGUCGGCUCAUCACAUCCUGGGGCUGAAGUCGGUCCCAAGGGUAUGGCUGUUCGCCAUUUAAAGUGGUACGCGAGCUGGGUUUAGAACGUCGUGAGACAGUUCGGUCCCUAUCUGCCGUGGGCGUUGGAAGAUUGAAGGGGGCUGCUCCUAGUACGAGAGGACCGGAGUGGACGAACCUCUGGUGUUCGGGUUGUGUCGCCAGACGCAUUGCCCGGUAGCUAAGUUCGGAAUCGAUAACCGCUGAAAGCAUCUAAGCGGGAAGCGAGCCCUGAGAUGAGUCUUCCCUGAUACUUUAAGUAUCCUAAAGGGUUGUCGGAGACUACGACGUUGAUAGGUCAGGUGUGUAAGUGCUGUGAGGCAUUGAGCUAACUGAUACUAAUUGCCCGUGAGGCUUAACCAU